rnacentral:rRNA from 1 species
GCUUAUCACCAUUCCAGAUUGAAUAUACCCGAUCUCGUCUGAUCUCGGAAGUCAAGCAAUCUCGGGCCUUUUGGUUAGUACUUUGGAAGGAUGGGUGCACCGCUUUGGGGAAUACCAAGUGUGAUAAGCA